GAUUAACGCUGGCGGCGUGCAUAACACAUUCAAGUCGAACGGUGAAGGGACUUCGGUCCCGGAUCAGUGGCGGACGGGUGAGUAACGCGUGAGCAAUCUACCUCUUGGUGAGGGAUAACAACCGGAAACAGUUGCUAAUACCUCAUGAAACGGCAGACCUGCAUGGGACAACCGUCAAAGAUUUAUUGCCAAGAGAUGAGCUUGCGUCUGAUUAGGUAGUUGGUGAGGUAACGGCCCACCAAGCCGACGGUCGGUAGCCGGACUGAGAGGUUGAACGGCCACAUUGGAACUGAGAUACGGUCCAG
rnacentral:rRNA from 1 species